rnacentral:misc_RNA from 1 species
UUACGUACAUAUACGUUGUGUCGGUUGCUCUUUGUAUUACUUUUACACUGUAGCAGUGUUGCCGACGUCGCUGUUGCUGAUUGCAAUAUUGUGUUCUGUUGUGUAGUAAAUGGUUGAUCUCUGGAUUGUUAAUAACAACAUUUACUAGUAAAAUAUCGAAAAUGAAAGAAGAUGGAAGGAAAAGUUUUGACAACCCUGUUUAAUUGUUGACAACAAAUAAUUUAUCCAUACAUAUAUUUUAUAUAAUACAUACAACAAUGAUAUUUAUUAAAUACAGUUUUGCAAUUAAAAUGAAGUCAUUAAGAAAUAAGUGAUAGUUUGCAUACUCAAAGCUGUUUGGAUUGCAUAUGCGCAAGUACCCGCACGGAAGUAAAGUUUUCUUAUUUUCUAAUUCUGUCGAUGAAUACUUGAACAUGUUCACAGAUUAAUUUAAAGAGUAUUAAAUAUUACCACACUUACUACAUAAAUAAUAGCAGCUCAUGUGAUGGCUUUUAAGAACAUAUUGUAUAGUGUAAUAAAUCGGUUGUUACUUUUAAAUAAAUAAAUAUAUGCACUUUUUUCUUAUUUUAAAUAUAAAAACUGCGCUAUCGAGCUUCUUUGGAUGCGCUCAUAUUGAUUUAAUGUGAAAAGCUGAUAGGCGCAUGCUUGAUAAAUGUGUGUUUCUGUGGCUAUAAAUAAUAUAACUUCUAAAUUAUACUACUAAAUAUGUGGUUAAUGGCGGAUAAUGACUAAUUUUACAGCGAAGUAUAAGAUGGCGUUAUCAAUGAAUAUUAUUACCAAGCUUAGCUUAGUUAGCUUAAUUAGUUUCUGAUCUGUACAAUCUUCAUUGAAGUCUACCGAGCGGUUUUUGAACUAUAGUGGCUAUAUUUUAAUUCACGUAAUGAAAGAAACCAACACAACAAAUAAAAAACUACGUCAGUUUCGGAAAAAGACAGGAAGUCCUGAUAAUCAACCUUUAUUAAUAAGCAUCUACAAGAGUAUUGCAAAUACAAAUUCAAACUGGCAAGGAAAGCAAUCUUUAAAAACUAAAAAUCUACCGAAGCAUUCAGCUCAAAAGUCUCGGGAUAUUCUCAACAAUCACAAAAGUUGUCAGUCUUUAAAUAAAAGUCAAACAAAAUCAUGGACAACAAGAAACGUAAAACAGAAUAAUUUAAAUAAAUCAAAUGAAGAUAUAGUGGAACGGAACGGGACGUUCGUACCAGGGAGAAGGGCCUCAAAUGAGAUAGUAGAGCUUGAUAAUAGAGCUAGUGAUAAUUCGACUCUCAUUCAAUUAAAAUUUAAACAAACAGAAAAAUCAAUUGAAAUCGUUCCAGAUAAGAAACUAAUAGCCUUUGAAGGUGUAUCGGAAGACGAAGACUUACGAAAUUACAAUGCGAUGCCCAGAACUAAGCACAGGCCUAAGAGUAUAAAUUUCUGUGCACAAAACUGUAUGUGCGGUAAUAGUGAUGUUUGCAUGCGCACAUCCAAAAGCUCUGCAUACUUUGACGUCCGCAAUAAACAAAAUUCUUUUGACGUGCCAAGCUCUAAGAAAAUAUAUCGCCAUGAUCAUCACCAGACCUUUCUAAGCAACAAUACUCAACUUUUAAGGGAAACGCUUUCUACUAUGCAACUGCAACACCAAUUGAGUGUACAACAACAAGAACUAAUACAACAACUACAAUUAGUACAACGACAAUAUCUGAUCCAUCAAGGCUUUGUCAAACCUUUGCAAUUGGACUUUCAAACGCAGCUUGAUAGAUCAUCGUCACCUUUUAGUAAUUUGUUCAGUCACGCGCACCAGCAAUUACACUUGCAACAUCACGCCUCGAAUGCAUUGACCAAAUGUAAUGAAACGUAUUAUGAAACAAAUUAUUUAUUGCAACAGCAUCUGCAGCAACAACAAAUAUAUAUGCCGCACCAAGCUAAUUUGAAAAAACCACAGAAUGAAUAUCGGCAACCACAAAGCCAACAGCAAAAUGACGACGAGGAUAUGGAUAACGAAAACAAGAACACUCACUUGAAUAUCAGUAAUAACAACAACAUUAACCACAAUGCCGUACUCGAUGUUUGCGAAAACAAACAAUUUAUUAAGAUUAUUAAUACAUCUUUACAGGAAGAGCAGAAUAACAAGGAAGAGCAUACUUAUAGGUUGGAUGUAGAGUGCAAUUCUACAAUAAGUAACCCAACACAUAGGGAGAACAAUGACAGUAGUUUGUGUGGUGACUUUAAGCCUUCAAUUAUGCAAUGCAUGGAAGGAGACGAGCCGUUAUUACAGGAGCCAACUACACAUUGUUCCUCUUCUACACAUAUUUGCAGUGCUAUUAAUAGUUGUAAUAGCUUUAAGCCAUGUCAGCGCAAAGCUAGAACCGACGAUGAUGGAAAUAACAACAGUAAUAACAAAAACUUCCAUAAUCAUAGAUGCAUUGCAUGGCAGCAUCAACGUGACAAAGAGCAACACGAAAACCCUAUGAAAAUUAUAUCAGAAAACGAUGACGACAAUGAUAGUUCUCAGCACACCAGCAACGCUUUUCCAGAGGAUGUGUCAAUGCUACCAGCAACUGAAGAUGACACAAAUUUCAUGUCCCGCAUACAUAAUCACAAUAAUGACAAAAUAUGCAACAGUACACAAGCUCAAGAAAAUACACUAACCUUACAUUCACAGCAAAUGCAGCGCAGUACAGAAUGUAUGCGGCCAACGUCGCCGCCUUCGUCCAUUGAUGAACAUCACAAUGGCAAUGAAAGCCAAAAUUCGGCUGCUAAUGAAUUGGAUGAAUUCACAACUUGGGUGAAUCCUGUGGACCAAGGCAACAAUAUAACUGAUGAUAUACAUGCAUAUAUGCAUUACCAACAGGGCGUCGUUGGUGCAAGAAGUGGAAGUCCCAGUCGAAGUAGAUGUAGCAGUAAUAGCAAUCAAAAUAGCAGCACUGACAAUUGCAGUGAAAUCCGUGAUAAUAUCAAACAUUAUACUUGUCCCAAUGAUAGUCCUGGCACGCAUAUGGGCGACGUAGUAGCUACGCCAACUUCGCCGACUGUCAGUGUACAACACCAUAGGUUAGAGUCAGGGGAAAAGUUGGAAACAAAACAGGCAUCUGCCAUAUGCAAUAUGGCUGAUUCAAAAGUACACCAUGGCAUAUCGCCGUUAUUACGGCUGGAUCAGCAAAGGCAGGAACAGCUACAGCAACAAGAACAUUCAACACAAAAGGUAGCAUCACGUGUACCUUUGUUAACAUUGCCGCCGGCACCACUAAUGUUGUCGCCAAUAACGACUCUGUCGCCUACAGUAGCUCCUUCAAAGGUCAUACCAUCGACUACGCAUGCAGCAGCCGCAGUAGCAGCGGCUGCAUCGCAUACGAAAGCACCACAUCAUAAUGCAGCAGCAGCUGUAGCAGUGGCAGCUGCUGCAGCAGCUGCCGCAGCGGCCGCAAACAGUCGCUGCAUACGUGGUGCACAGAUGACGCCAAAUUUUGGUAGCCUGUUGGAUGCAGUAAGUGGUAGCAAUGGCGGCAGCAACGAAACUCAUUUCAUCAACUACAAUGACACAAACGUCACAGAGGCAAGCCAUGAUACAAACGUCAAUAGCAACAAGUACACCAAUAGCCCAAAGAAGUACUACCACCCGCUGUAUGCACACGGAAUAUGCCGUUGGCCGGGCUGUGAGCUAACGCUUAAUGACUUCGUAGCCUUCGUAAAACAUUUAAACUCCGAACAUAAUUUGGACGAUCGGUCCACAGCACAAGCACGAGUUCAAAUGCAAGUCGUAUCACAGCUGGAAGUUCACUUGCAGAAGGAGCGCGAUCGAUUACAGGCUAUGAUGCAUCAUCUUUAUUUAACAAAACAAUUUUUAAAUACUGAAAAGAUCGAGUCGAAGGAACCAUUGGAAUCGCCUUAUAGCAAUAUCUCAGCCAGCCUGAGUCCAACGACUAUGGGGUCGGUAAUGCCAAUGGCGGCACCGCAAGUAACUAACUUACAAGGUGUAACUAAUUUGAACAUGUCGAUAAAUGGGAAUAGCACUCGUACCAUACCAGUCACGAUUAGCUCACCUAUUCUGACCACGGCUAACAUAUCUGCGAUUAGAAAGCGAAUCAGCGAUAAAAGCGCCAUUUCCCUAACGGGUGGUUUGCCUUAUAUGUUGGAAAGAGCCGGUUUGGAUGUCCAACAAGAAAUACACCGAAAUCGAGAAUUUUAUAAAAAUGCUGAUGUACGACCUCCAUUCACAUAUGCUUCACUGAUACGGCAGUCUAUUAUAGAGUCACCUGACAAGCAAUUAACUUUAAACGAAAUUUAUAACUGGUUUCAAAACACAUUCUGCUAUUUUCGGCGCAAUGCUGCAACUUGGAAAAAUGCCAUACGCACAAAUCUGUCGCUGCAUAAAUGCUUUGUGCGCUAUGAAGAUGACUUUGGCUCCUUUUGGAUGGUAGACGACAAUGAAUUCGUGAAACGACGCCAUUUAUCGCGCGGCCGUCCACGCAAAUAUGAACCGUCGUCAUCGCCUAAGGCCAAUUCGCAAACUUCCAUUAAUGCUACUGCCGACAUUAGCAACAACACUAGCCGAGAAGUAAGUGGCAACAGUGACUCACAAUUAUUGAAUAGGCAACAAAAGCAGAAACAGCGCAAUAUGCACAGUUUCGGUGUUAGUCAGGUAGCUGGCCACUGCAUCAAUGUAGAUUGUGAUAGUGUCGGUCGUAGCGUCCAAGGUUACCAUGCUACAACGGAUGCUGCUACUCCAGUAAUAGCAGCUGCAAUUGAUGCGAAACAGGGCGGCGAUAAUUACUCUGAUAACAACAGUAGCAACGGUAUUAAAAUUAAGAGUGGAAAUAAUAAUAAUAGCCACAGUAAUAUGGAUAUUAAUAAUGGCGAUCAUGACGGCAUUGAUAUCUGCGAAGGUAGCCAAAGGCAUAUAGGCGAUUUUUGUAGCAAUAAAAAAAUAGCAAAAUUUGAUACUCAAAAUUAUAAAAUGCCCAAUGAUAGUAAUCUACUUUGCAUCAACAAUACUUUAAUUGGUAUUAACACAUUUAAAAAUUUAAGUAUGCUUGCAACGACUGGCAACAAAGUCGCUAGUGCUAGUGGUAUCAACAUCGUCAGUGAUGGCGUCGCCGCUGUCGAUAUUGAUGCCAUAAUUGCGGUGAACAACAGUGGCGAUGGCAUAAUUGGAAGCAAUCGUAUCGGUGCCAGUAUCUAUGGUGAUGUCGGUGUCGUUACUGUUGAUGCUGUAAAUAAUUUAAAUGAUGUUGCCGUAGGUGUUGGUGAUAACGGUACCGACGGAAUUUUCUCUUGCAACUAUCAACCGCACAACAUGCUUUAAAAACUUAACAUUAAAUAAUAACACUUUAACGGCAUUUUGAAACCAAAAUGUCAAUUAAUAAAGAUAACUGACAUUGUUUCAAACAAAUAUGCAUACAGGAACGCAAUCCACGAUUCUCGGCCGACUUCACCACCUUAUGGCAAACACGAUUAUAUAACUAAUUUACAGAACAUGUGGACCUCCAUAUCUGAAGAUCCCA